rnacentral:rRNA from 1 species
GAUGAACGCUGACGGCGUGCCUAAUACAUGCAAGUCGAGCGAACAGACGAGGAGCUUGCUCCUCUGACGUUAGCGGCGGACGGGGGAGUAACACGUGGAUAACCUACCUAUAAGACUGGGAUAACUUCGGGAAACCGGAGCUAAUACCGGAUAAUAUAUUGAACCGCAUGGUUCAAUAGUGAAAGACGGUUUUGCUGUCACUUAUAGAUGGAUCCGCGCCGCAUUAGCUAGUUGGUAAGGUAACGGCUUACCAAGGCAACGAUGCGUAGCCGACCUGAGAGGGUGAUCGGCCACACUGGAACUGAGACACGGUCCAGACUCCUACGGGAGGCAGCAGUAGGGAAUCUUCCGCAAUGGGCGAAAGCCUGACGGAGCAACGCCGCGUGAGUGAUGAAGGUCUUCGGAUCGUAAAACUCUGUUAUUAGGGAAGAACAAAUGUGUAAGUAACUAUGCACGUCUUGACGGUACCUAAUCAGAAAGCCACGGCUAACUACGUG